rnacentral:snoRNA from 1 species
AAUCCAUGGUGAGGGCAGACACGUUCAUACUCUUCAAAACGCUCCCAAGCUUCAUAGAAAGGUUCAGUCGGUCCUUGCUGAAAGCUUGAGAUCUUGGUUCUCAGAAA